GGACGUUGCAGCAACAAGUGAAGUCCGGGAAGGGCUGGAAUUUCGCGGGCGCGCGCCCUGCCAACUGUGCACGCAGUGGGCGAACCCUGUACGACGCUGGAUCCAGCCAAGGGACGCCCCUCCCUGCCAGGGACCCUAGGAAUUCGGCCCUGGGAGAUGAGAAAACCGAGACCCAGAGACAGUCAUCCAGGGACACUGCAGGGGCCAACUCUUGGAUCUUUGACUCCUGGAUCAACCCCUUCCUGAAGGUGCUCACUUGGAUUUUCACCACCCCCCACCAAAAAAAAAAAUCCUUUAUUCUCUUCGUCUAUAAACCAAGGUCUCAAACUCAGAUGGCCCCAGGGGCCAGGCAGGAGGUAAAUGCCUCUGCUAAAAAAGUGACAGCAUGUCCUGCCUAGAGGGAGCAGAGCUUUACCUUGGGGGAGACCCACCCACGUAUUCACAGAUCCAUGGGGAUUCCAGACUGUAGACAAAGUGUCCUGCCUCUUUAAAAAAAAAACCUCUGGACCAAAUAAAACCCAAUGGAGCCAUAUCCAGUCCAGGGGCCACAAGUUUGCCACCUCUGCUAAAUUAUUUGUGUUGGGGUGGGAAUUCUGGAACCUCCGGAAAGAACAUGGAAAAAAUGGGGUGUCUGUGACUAGUGCAUUUUUUUUUCUUUUUUUUGAAAGGGUCUAUACUAGCAUUGUGUGAUAGAGCUUUCUGAGAUCAGAGGAAUGUUCUAGAACUCUGUGCCACGCAGUAUAGUGGCCCCUGGCACCAUACGGCUGUUGCCCACUAAGAAACUGAAUAUACAUAUUUAAGUAA